rnacentral:rRNA from 1 species
UGAGGAAUAUUGGGCAAUGCCCGAAAGGGUGACCCAGCAACGCCGCGUGGAGGAUGAAGGUCGUAAGAUUGUAAACUCCUGUUAGAGGGGAAGAAUAACUAAGUUUGGAGCUUAGUAUGACUGUACCCUCAGAGAAAGCCCCGGCUAACUACGUGCCAGCAGCCGCGGUAAUACGUAGGGGGCAAGCGUUGUCCGGAUUUACUGGGUGUAAAGGGCGCGCAGGCGGAAUGGAAAGUCAGUGGUGAAAUCCUACAGCUUAACUGUAGAACUGCCUUGGAUACUGCAAGCCUAGAGUAUGGAAGAGAGUGAUGGAAUAUCUGGUGUAGCAGUGAAAUGCGUAGAUAUCAGAUAGAACACCAAUGGCGAAGGCAGUCACUUGGUCCAUUACUGACGCUAAAGCACGAAAGCGUGGGUAGCAAACA